UUUGAUGACUAAUGGGCAGUUAGCUUAUACAAAGGGAUGAUUCAUGACCUGGGUGAGAUGGAACAGCAUGUCUUAAUAUUUCAUCAUACUCCUUAGAAUGACACCUUAUUUAGAACUUAUGAUUUAUAUAUUUCUGGAAUUCCCCAUUUAAUAUUUUUGGACUAUGGUUGACCAAGAGUAACUGAAAUUACAGAAAUCAAAACCAUGGAUAUUAUAUUUUGAAAUAUAUGUUUGGUCUUCAACACUGUUUUGUGGCAUACAACUCAUAAAAUGUUUAGUAUCUCCAAAGUGAUGUCUUUGUAUGCUAAUAAUUGAGUGAUGGCUGGCAGUCCCUAGGUAGCUUCAGGAUAGGAGCUGGUCACAAAAAAGAACAAGGCAUGAUUAGGGUGUUGGGACUUUCAGCUCCACCACUCAACCUCCUAGAGGUGAGAGGAGUUGAAGGUUAUAUCGAUUACCAAUGGCCACAGACUUUUUCAUUCAUGCCUAUGUAGUAAAGCUGUUUAAGAACCCAGAAGGACUGGGAUCAGAGACCUGCCAGAAAGCUGAAUGUAUGGAAGUGUUUGGAGGCAGAUGUGCCCUGGGAGGGCAUGGAAGCUCCAUGUUCCUUCCCCUAUAACUUGCCGUAUGCAUCUCUUCAUGUGUCUCCUUUAUAAUACCCUUUAUAAUAAACUGUGGAUGUGAGUUCUGUAGAGUCUAUAUUCAGUCCUUUUGGCAAACCGACUACUGAAAAUUCACAGCCUACAAAACUUGAGGAAGACUUUAGUCUUGCUACCAAGGUAAAAUGGUCUUUUGUGAAGUUGAUUUUCUCAGUUGGAAUCUAGUUCUGUAUAGUAUUUACUUUUCAUGUUUUGCAGU